GAUUGUAGGCUGAAACUCGCCUGCAUGAAGUCGGAAUUGCUAGUAAUCGCGGAUCAGCAUGCCGCGGUGAAUACGUUCCCGGGCCUUGUACACACCGCCCGUCACACCAUGAGAGCCGGUAACACCCGAAGUCAAUAGCCUAACCGCAAGGAGGGCAUUGCCGAAGGUGGGAUUAGUAAUUGGGGUGAAGUCGUAACAAGGUAUC
rnacentral:rRNA from 1 species